rnacentral:tRNA from 1 species
UUGGAUCACCUCCUAACAGGGAGACAAACAACGAUUUUGAUGCCUGAGUACUUUUAUUCUUAGGCCGAAAUCCUGUCACCUUAGGUCGAUCGGUACCUCAACCUCAAUCCUGUGAGUCGAAAGGCUGCACAACGAUUGAUUUUUAGUUCCUAAACGUUGUCUAGGUCACCCCAUAGAGGGUUCACUUCCUGGGCCAUUAGCUCAGGUGGUUAGAGCGCACCCCUGAUAAGGGUGAGGUCCCUGGUUCAAGUCCAGGAUGGCCCAUUCGGUGUUGGGGGUUUAGCUCAGUUGGUAGAGCGCCUGCUUUGCAAGCAGGAUGUCAGGAGUUCGAGUCUCCUAACCUCCACUGACCAAACUGUAUCCCCAUCUCCAAAAGGAAUUGGAGUAUGAAUUCGAUUGGAGUGUGAUUUUAGACGUGUCCGCUGGAUGACCCCAGCUUCCUGUCAUUCCAAAUGAAAGCAAAAAGGAUUUUGCUAAUUGAUUUUGGUUGAUAAGAUGCUGGGCUCAAUUCAAAUGAUCAAGCAAUUGAUGAUUUGGUUUGAAGUUCUAGCAGAACCUUGAUAACUGCGUAGGUAAGUCUGGAAAGAAUAAAGCAUCUCAUGGAUGAUGCGAUGACUCUAAACAAUGAUCUGAAAGGAUGAUUGAGAGGAGUGAUUGUGAAUUCUAUAGAGCAAGAGCCGAGACUCCAUCACGUUCUUUUGAUUGUGUCGAGCAAUCAAGAGUUUGAUUUUUGAUUCAGCAAUGAAUCAGAGAGAAUCCGUUUCAACGACGGCAAGCGUGAUGGAGAUUAAUUGGUCAAGCUACAAAGGGCUCACGGCGGAUACCUUGGCACACAGAGGCGAUGAAGGA